AACGAACGCUGGCGGCAGGCCUAACACAUGCAAGUCGAGCGAAGCCUUCGGGCUUAGCGGCGGACGGGUGAGUAACGCGUGGGAACGUGCCCUUUGGUACGGAAUAGCCCCGGGAAACUGGGAGUAAUACCGUAUGUGGUCGAGAGACGAAAGAUUUAUCGCCAAAGGAUCGGCCCGCGUUGGAUUAGGUAGUUGGUGGGGUAAUGGCCUACCAAGCCGACGAUCCAUAGCUGGUUUGAGAGGAUGAUCAGCCACACUGGGACUGAGACGCGGCCCAGACUCCUACGGGAGGCAGCAGUGGGGAAUCUUAGACAAUGGGGGAAACCCUGAUCUAGCCAUGCCGCGUGAUCGAUGAAGGCCUUAGGGUUGUAAAGAUCUUUCAGUGGGGAAGAUAAUGACUGUACCCACAGAAGAAGCCCCGGCUAACUCUGUGCCAGCCGCCGCAGUAACAC
rnacentral:rRNA from 1 species